AACGAACGCUGGCGGCAUGCCUAACACAUGCAAGUCGAACGAGACCUUCGGGUCUAGUGGCGCACGGGUGCGUAACGCGUGGGAAUCUGCCCUUGGGUUCGGAAUAACUCAGAGAAAUUUGAGCUAAUACCGAAUGAUGUCGCAAGACCAAAGAUUUAUCGCCCAAGGAUGAGCCCGCGUAGGAUUAGCUUGUUGGUGAGGUAAAAGCUCACCAAGGCGACGAUCCUUAGCUGGUCUGAGAGGAUGAUCAGCCACACUGGGACUGAGACACGGCCCAGACUCCUACGGGAGGCAGCAGUGGGGAAUAUUGGACAAUGGGCGAAAGCCUGAUCCAGCAAUGCCGCGUGAGUGAUGAAGGCCUUAGGGUUGGUAAAGCUCUUUUACCUAGGGAUGAUAAUGACAGUACCUGGAGAAUAAGACUCCGGCUAACUCCGUG
rnacentral:rRNA from 1 species